ensembl:lncRNA
GACAAACCCAGUUUUAAGGUCCAGUUUCUGUCAUAAUUCAUAGAUGGUUUUGGGAAGAAAAGAAAAUGAGCCAAAGCACGUUCUACUUGAACCUGCUUAACUACGUAAAAGGUCCACGCUACAUCACCCUACUGUAGUUUGUGCCCUGCGCUCCCACAAUGCGUUGAAUGUCCUUGAUUUAAAUGUGUUUGUUAUUUACACAUUAAUAAACUGUUGUAGCAGUGGCACCGAAGAAGACAUGGAAUAAACACUGCAAAUACAGACAAAUGCUUUUUAAAAUUUUCAUCAGGCACUUCAACAGCAAGUCUUUGCGAAGACCGGAAAUGUCCAGACCAGCGCUACCCCAACAUGGAGCCAAAGAUGGUGUAACCUGGGAGGUCAUGACACAUGGAGUUUGCCCCCCAUUGCAGCGCAGCCCACGACAGACACCACACUAUAUUACCUCGACACAAUUGGUUCAAGAGCAGUGCAAGCAGAUGUUUCAGUACGGAGGCAGAUCUAGACGCAAACCGGCCUUCAUGUCUGGACCGGCUCUGAGCUGUUUAUGCAAUCCACACGCACACAGAUACACACACACACACACACACACACAUUAAAAUCUCUGGAACGUUAUCGAUCCUUCAGAACACAGGGGCUGGAGAGAGCAUAAACUGAUACAUGGAUUCCUGCCUUUACUCUCCUCCAGAAAACUGUUUUUUCCCUCUGUAACGAUGAGUUUAACAGAGCCACCUCUUUGAAAAGCCCUGCGUCUAGCUGGU